UACGGAGGGUGCAAGCGUUAUCCGGAUUUACUGGGUUUAAAGGGUGCGCAGGCGGAUAUGUAAGUCGGUGGUGAAAUCUUUGGGCUUAACCCGAAAAUUGCCAUUGAUACUAUAUAUCUUGAAUGCUGUGGAGGUAAGCGGAAUAUGUCAUGUAGCGGUGAAAUGCUUAGAGAUGACAUAGAACACCUAUUGCGAAGGCAGCUUACUACGCAGAUAUUGACGCUCAUGCACGAAAGCGUGGGGAUCAAACAGG
rnacentral:rRNA from 1 species